ensembl:snRNA U2 U2 spliceosomal RNA
AUCGCUUCUCGGCCUUUUGGCUAAGAUCAAGUGUAGUAUCUGUUCUUAUCAGUUUAAUAUCUGAUACGUCCUCUAUCCGAGAACAAUAUAUUAAGUGGGUUUUUGGAACAGGGAGAUGGAAUAGCGGCUUGCUCCGUCCACUCCACGCAUCAACCUGGUAUUUCGGUACCUCCGGGAAUGGUGCACCACCU